UACGGAGGGUGCGAGCGUUGUCCGGAAUCGACUGGGCGUAAAGGGCGCGUAGGCGGCUCGUGAAGUCAGUGGUGAAAGCCCAGGGCUCAACUCUGGGUCGGCCACUGAUACUCGCGAGCUCGAGUUGGUAGAGGCUAGAUGGAAUUCCGGGUGUAGCGGUGGAAUCGCGUAGAGAUCCGGAAGAACACCGGUGGCGAAGGCGGU
rnacentral:rRNA from 1 species